rnacentral:lncRNA from 1 species
UCUUUUACACUUCACUACUUCCUCUGUCACUGCAUCCACUAUCUCUCUCGUAAUAUACAUAUAUAUAUAAUAAAAUACUCAACUCUCUUCCUCUCACGUUCAAUCUCUCUCUCUCUCUCUCUCUCUCUCUCUCUCUCUCUCUCUCUCUCUCUCUCUCUCUCUCUCUCUCUCUCUCUCUCUCUCUCUCUUUGCCACCAAACACAAAGAAAUAAUAUACUCCCACUUUUAUAUUAUACAACACUUUGUUAUUUUUGUCGGUUUUUCCUAAAUAUUUUAGAAAAUUGUAUAUUCUUUUUUUCUAAAGUGGAUAUUCGUAAAACGUAAAAUCAUUUUAUUGAGACGAAAAAGAUUAUGUCAUAUUCCUUAAACUAUUUAAAUGUAAAAUUUGACUAAGAUUUAAGUUUUGUUUUACAUUAACUAUCCUCAAUAGAUUUAUUUAACUGUAAUCGACUAGGAUAAAUAUAAAUUUUUUACUAAGAAAACCCAAAAGUCAAUCAUUAUUUGAAGUGUAAUAAAAUAUUUAAUUUACUCCAUUUUAAAUGCUAUUUUGGGGUUUAAAAGGUAUGGUAAAGAAAUAGAGAUUCGAAACCAAUAAGUUCGACAAAAAAACAAAAAUCAUUUUAGCAGUUCGUACCUGUAUAUUUGCAGUUUUAUUAAGUUAACCUUACCAAUCUGUUUUCCUCGAAUGGUUAUUAUAUAACUCAAAAUUGAAAUGAUCUGGAAAAUUAGAUCGGAACAGAACAACACAUGUAGUAUAUGUUCGUAAGAAAAGAUUUUGCUAUCUUAUGAAUCAGACGAUAUAUUUUCAGUACGAGUAAUAGAGCAAUGGAGAACUUUGUGAAUCUACUUUUCAGUUUCAUCAGCUCUUUCAGUUCGUUCAGUUGAAAGUUUCGGCCAUGCUCCUGAAUCUUGAAUCAUUGAAACUAGGUUCUUACAAUCGGUGCCAAAAACCUGGCACGUCGAUAACUGUAGCAUGUACUCCAUUGCCCGUGAAAGAGCCUUAAGCUCCGAGUGAAGUGGUGAGAUUCUUCUUCGUUGGUUCCUUCCUCCCAUUAACUGAAUUCCUCCUCCUCUUGAAUUUAUCUGUGUCCAUCCAUAACCACUGUGCGUCAGGAGACUAUGAUCCAUCUAUCAUACAUCUUUCAGAGAUUCAUACAUGUUCAUGAUGUUGCAUUUCCGCUGGUACUUCUUGUUUCUGAUUAGAUUCAAACCAAGCAUGGCACUCUGAUUCAGCGUGUCAGACAGUUUUCAAUUGGUCACUGUCUAUCCUUCUGAAUAAAUUAUCAUUUUUCGCUUUCCAAAUGUGCCAAAUAAUCCAAGGGUGUGAAUCUCUAUCCAAUUCAGAAUCUUCAAUAUCAUUUUUCGAUAUAAUAAAUAGUUUAUAUUUGUGAAUUGGCUGGCACUGGGAAAUAAGAAUGGUGGGGUUGGGGUACCUGCUAAAGCCAAUGUUUGUAAAGCUGGCAUGCCUUCAAAGAUGGCUUAGUUUAUAUUUUCUUUAUCUACUCCACAUCUAGGACAAUGAUUGUUGCAUCGCAUAUGACGAUGACUUAGGUUGCUUGUCAUUACUUAUUGUCCCGAGAUCGUUUGCCAAAUAGAAUGUCUGAUUUUCGGUUAAGCUUUUAUCUUCCAACCAAAGGUUUGGAGCUUUUUGAUACUAGUAUCUAGCUGUGUCUCCAUGAUUUCCCUGUUAAGCAGGUUUGUUGCUACUUAGUAUCCAGAUUUAACAGUGUACAUACCAUUCUUUGUAUAGCUCUAGCAAUAUUCAUCUUGCUGAUGUCCUUGAUUUAUGGCCAAAGACUGGAUCAAAGGGAUAUCCUCCAGAUUGACGUAAUUUUCUAAGAGCUCGGAGUUCCAUCUUUUAGGGCUCCCUAUUAAUAGCUUACUUAUUGGCAUCACUGAAUGAACCACGGGUGCAAUAGACAUAGCUGGUCUUGCUGGUAUCGUUGGAAUCCAAAGGACUUCCCAAAUUCUAAUAUCAUGUCGAGAAUGUACUUUUUGUCUAAUUCCUAAUGUAACUAAUGGAUUUUCUGCCAUUAUGCUCGUCCAUCCAUAUGAGGAAUUGUUAGUCUUGUUUAGUCGCAAAGGCAAACUACAUCUGAAGUAUUUUCCCCUCAAGACUCUUGCUAAUAAGGAAUCAGGGAACUGCAUUAGUCCCCACAACUGCUUGCCUAGUAGGGCAAGAUUGAAUUCAUGGAUCAUCUUGAAUCUUAUUCAUCCCUCUUCCCUCAACCUGCAAAGCUUUUUCUUUUUUGUCCAAUGAAUACCUAUUUUAGGUGGAUUCAAACUCCACCAAAACUGUGUAAUGACACUAGUUAGAUUCUCACAAGUCUCAAGCGGUAGUAGAAGAGUUGACAUUACGUAUGUAGGUAGAGCUAGUAGUAUAGAAUUUAUCAGCACUUCCUUUCCUCUCCUCGAUAACCACCGACCUGUCCAACCAUGAACUCGAUUUUGUAAUCGUUCUUUUAGGAAUGCAAAUAACUUCUCUUUUGAGGUACUGAUGUCCUCUGGGAUUCCAAGAUAAGAUCUCAUCCCUCCUUCAUUUGCAAUUCCAGUUGAGGCUUUAACUUCUUCCUUCACAUGUUCGGAUAUCUUCUUACCAAAGAGAAAAUGAUUUUUCAAAGUUAAUACACUGGCUAGAGGCUAUCCCAUAUGUCUCAAGAGCUUUCAUGGCUUCAUCACAUUCACAGGGAUCCGCCUGACAGAAGAACAAACUAUCAUCAACAACAAUAAGGUAUGAUACCGGGGGGCUAGUGUGUGAGACACACAUUCCUGUUAUAUUGUCUUGAUUCUCCGCGUGAUUAAGAAGGCUAACAAGCGCUUCCAUACAUAGAAUAAAUAUGUAAGGAGACAAAAGAUCUCCUUUGCGCAAUUUCCUCACAGGGGUUAUAUUUCCUCUCGGUACACAUCGUGUUAUCCAUUCAAUCCAUAAGUGUGAGAAUCCCAUUUUCUACAUAACCGCACUUAUAAAUUUCCAUUCGAAAUGGCCAUUAGCUUUACUCAUAUCUAUCUUUAUUGCCAUACACAUAUUUCUUCCGUCGGGGUCUGUCUGGAGAGCGUUAAACAUCUCAUGUGCAAUCAAAACAUUAUCAGUUAUCUGUCUUCUGGCAGCAAAGGCUGAUUGGAUUUCAGAUAUCUGGUUCGGUAACACCUUCUUUAAUCUUUGGCAUGACGUUAGAUAUUAUCUUGUAGCUCGCAUUGCAAAGACUACUGAUAGGUCAAAAUUUUGACAUUUCAUUCGGCUUUUCUUUCUUUGAGAUGAGACAAAUGUUGGCGUCGUUGAGUCAAUUAGCCAUUAUUCCAUCAAAAAUGAAUUCAUUAACCAUACUAGUUAAGUCAUCUUUCACAAUGUCCCAGUUUUUUUGAUAGAAUAAGGUUGUUAGACCAUUGGCCGAGAGGCCUUUUCUGGGUGCAUAUCAAACAAGCUAGCUUAACCUCCCAUUCUGAAAGAAGAGUCAUAAGAUCCUCAUUCAGCCGGUCUGAUAUUAUCGUUAUAACAUUUUCCAAGGCUUCAUCAUUGAGCUCAAGAUUGGAAGAUCCAAAAGGUCUUUAAGUAAAGCAAUAGCUACUAAUUUUUCCUCAUCUUCCACAAUAAUCCCAGCGAAAUCUAGAAGACCUGUGAUUUUAUUUCUGGCUCUUAUUUGUUUAGUAAUAGCCUGGAAGAACUUGGUAUUCAAGUCUCGUUAUCUAAGCCAAAAUAUUAUGCUCUUCUGCUUCCAAAACGUUCUUCUACGUUAAGAGCAUCAGUCAGUUCUUCUAAUGCUGCUCCUAUUUAUCCAGUUGUGGCCUCAUCAUCCGAAUUAAGGAUAUCCACCUUUUGUUUUAGAUCUUCGACUAGUUUCACAGCAUUUAUGUCCUUUUCUCUUUUCCACUUUCCUAGUGCGUUCCUGCAGCUCGUUAUACAUUAUAUUUGCAUCAAGAGAGGGGUCUGAAGAGUUCUAUCCCUUUACAAUUAUUUUCUUUAUUUCUUCACUAUCAAGCCAGUGUUUAUCAAAUUUGAAAGCUUUUCUUUUCCUUGUAAGUUUGGAUAUGAUAUUGCAAAUACCGGACGAUGAUCUGAUCCCCACAUAUGGAGGUAUUGUACUUUGGAAUGUAGAAUGUGGAAACUUUUCAUGCCAAUCUUCGUUCUCAAGGGUAUAAUCAAGACGACACCGAACAUUGCCACUGGUCCUUUUGCCAGCCCAUGACAAUUGAUUCCGUGUAUAUGGGAAUUCAAUCAUACCACAAUCUGAUAUCAUUUGAUUAAACAAAAGAAAUGAAGUAUCAUAUCGUCUUUUUCCUCCUUCUAUCUCAUGGUGUCUUGUUAUUUCAUUCAAGUCUCCAGUCAUAAACCAAAAACCAUCUCUAGUUGUGGCAAAAUGCGUAAGACGUUUCCAAACCUAAUAUCUUCUUUCUAAACAGGAUUCCCAUAAACGAAUGUCAUGUGAACAUUUAUUCCAUUAAUGACUGCUUUUACAUCAGUCAUUCGUUAUUCAAAAAUAAAAUACCAACUUGAAAUUCAUCCAUAAAAAACAAAGCUAAGCCACCGCUUUGGCCAAGUGGCUCAACGGUAAACAAUUUCUUAAGUCUGCAUGAAUGUUUGCAACAACGGACUCCUAUGCUUUUGACACAUUUCCGUGAGGCGCCGAACGGUGAGGUCGUUCCCUAUCAUUCGAAAAUUUCAGCUAAGUGUCUUCAUCGAUGAAAUUGGGGCGGAUGUUUGGCAUCCACCAUACCUCUUUUCUGAGUGAUUGAACUUAUCUUUGGCUUCCGUGAAACUAUGGCUUUCAGCUUGCUGCUGUCUGUCCCCUUCGAACUCGAGUAACACUAUCUCCUUGUGCUGAUGUCUUUGCGUUGAGUUAACCUUACCAUUAAAAGAGCUCGACAAUAUCACUCUAUAUUUAAUAGGUAAUGUCUUUAUGAUUAACAAGUUUCUAAGAAAAGCGUUUAGUUUCAUUAAAUGCCAAACAUGGGAACACGAUAUAUUUUGGGUGAAGUAUGAGAAAAACAAUUCCCAUCGUGCUGAUUUCACCUUCGACGAGUUGUUUUUAGUAUGGAAUGAGCCUUGGACUGUUAUUCAGGCCCACAUAUAUAAGUACAAUACAACACUGAUGAUUAAUCAUUCUGUGUAGUGUAUUAUACAUUGCACUUCACUAAAAAUAGUGAAAGUGGUAGUGGAUGAGAGAGACGCUCGAAUCUUGAAGCAUAGUCGGUCCAGUAACAAUUCGCAUCUUAUUCACUGCGUUAAUCCUCCCUAUAUUUUUUGGCAAUGAUAAAACUAGAUAACAUAUGUUUUCGAUUUAUGUAUUGGAAUAUACUCUUUUAUUUAAACAUCUAAUCACUAAAUCAAAAUUUAAAUUCAAAUAUAUAUAUAUAUAUAUAUAUAUAAUUUCUAACUAAAAUUAUUUUCAGAAUUUUCUCUUUUUGAAAAGAAAUGUGUGUUUAUUGCUAUUAUAUGGUAUUUUUCUUUAUAGACUUGAUUUAUAACUAUUAACUAGAUUUUGACCCGCGCUUAGAAAGCGUGGGUUUUUCUUUGGAUUGUAAACAAAGUUUUUGAAUUAGUAUUUUGGAAUUGGUAUACAUUAUUAUGUUACAAAGUCAUUAUAUCGAAGACGGGCAUUUAUUUAAAAUGAUAUAACUUAUAAAUUAGUUUAUAUAAGAUUUUGUAUGUACAUUUUUUUAUAAAUUUUUUAUUAAGUCUGGACAUUUUAAUUUCAUUUUAUUUAAAUUUUCGUUUAUAAACCAAAACUAUAUUCAAUUUUAAUUUCUAAUUAUAUUUUAUGAUAAUUUAAAUUAAAAAUAACUAAUUUUUGAAAGUAAAUUUAAAAAAACCUAUAUUCAAUUUUAAUUUCUAAUUAUAUUUUAUGAUAAUUUAAAUUAAAACUAACUAAUUUUUGAAAGUAAAUUUAAAAAGAUUCUAAGAAGAUUUUAAAAUGAUUUUGUCAGAACAUUUUAAAUAUAUGCAUUUGUAUUUUUUUUUUGAGAAAAAUAUGCAUUUGUAUUUCAAAUAAAAAGAUAAAGAUAUUAAAAGAUAUAAUAAUAAACUUAUGUAAAAUAUGAUAUUUUCUAGGAAUGGUCCAAACUUAAAAAAUCACACAUGAAAAGAAGUCAUGACUUCUGUUUUAAUAUAUAAGAUAUAUCAAUGCAUAAUAAUAAUUUUAUUUAUAAUUAAAUUAUAUCAUUAUUAAAGUUUUUACAAAGAUUUUAUAUUAUUAGCUUAUUGAAUAUAUGGAACUUAGCAACAUAAUAUCUGGUUUUAUUUCUAAAUUUGAAAUUUUUAUAUGACAGUUAAAUUAAAUUGGACCUACAUAAUAGAGAAGAAAUAUUUUGAGAUACUGAUAAGAACAACAAAAAAAAUCUUAAAAGAGAAACUAUAAUAUAUUGUACUUACAAACUAAUUUUGUAGUAAAUAUUUUUAUUUGAAACGGAAAGGAUAUUUCUUUCUACCAAAAUCCUUUAAAGAUUUUUAUAAAAUAUAUUUUGAAAAUUAAUCAAUCUAAAUGGUUGUUAUCACUAAAAUAUAAUUAAAAUAUCUAUAUGAUUUUAAUUUUCGUUCAUCAAUCAAAAAUAAAUUUAAUUUGAAAUUCUAAUAUUAUUUUAUGAUAAUUAAAAUUUAAGUUAAUUAGUUUUCGAAAAUAAAAUUUAUCAUGAUUCUGAAUAGAUUUUCUUAGAAUUUUCUUGAACAAUAUUUAUUUGUAUUUUAAAUAAAAGAUAAAGAUAUUAAAAGAUAUGAUGAUUAAGUUAUGUAAGAUUUGAUAAACUUUCUAGAGGAUGGUCCAAAUAAAAAAAAAUCACACAUGAACAAUGUCAUGACUUCUGUUUUAAUAUAUAAGAUAUAUAGUGAUAAAUAUGUAUAGUUAUAUUCAUAUUUGUGUAUUUAUAAGCUUUCAACAUCUGUUUCUUCAAGCAGAACGUAUAAAAGUGAUAAUAGUUUUGGGUGAAUCUCCUGUAAUAGAGAAUUUUGAACUAGUUGUUAAUUAAUAUUAUCUUGAUAAGCUGAUUCAAGUGGCUGUGAUCCACAUGAAUCGGCUUUCUCAUUACUUGCUUCUAAGUUCUCCCUUUUAGUUUAUUAAUUUCCUCCUUAGAUCCUGCAACUUUUCUAGGGUUUUGGCCUUCUACCGUCGUCGGAUUUCAUACAAGCUUCACAAGUCUCCAUGUGCAUUUAAAGCUUGUGGUUUAAGUAUGUUGACAUUAUAUAAUCUCCCAAGGAUUAAAUUAAGCUAAUUCCACUAAUCCCUAGGUAAACGUCAAGAUAACAUAAAGAUGAAGUUAAAGUCCAUACCUCUGCAACCAGAUUUGAGUUUAUAAUCUUGUAAUGUUGUUCAAGAACCAGUUUUGGGGUUUGUGUUGAUAUUGUGUGUUGUAUAGAGUUUGAAGGAUGGUGAAGGCGAAUGUAUUAUCGAAAAUUAGAGGUUUCAGUGGCGUCAACAGACCAAUCUAUGUCUUGGCUGGUUUGGCAUUUCUCAUCUCAGUAGCUACUCUGGCUAAGUUCAACUACAUCACACCGCUAAGGUUCUCUGGUCGGUUCUGUAAUAAUCAUGGAAGCUUUGACGGCGAUAACUAUAUCCUCGGAAGCCAAAUGAGAAAGACGAUAGAAUCCGCCAUCUUCAAAAUCCACCAAGAAAUGGAUGAUCUCAAGGCCUUAGAAGCUAAUUCUUCUGCUCCACCAUCUGAUUCAUCAGCUUCAGGAUCCAUGUUUAGGCAUGUAGCUUUCCUUGCUGAUGUUCUUUCACUGAUUCAGUCAGUUCAUAUGGAGUUGCCUUCCUUGGAAGAAGUGGAUCAUCCGUUGAAGCAGAGGAACGGUGACCCCGGCGAGCAUUUCAUGAGGGAAGAGAUCAAGAAAUACAUAAAGAUCAAACCUAACCGGCUUGGAAAGCAGAACUUCAUGGGAGCUAAUGGAACGUUCACUUCGAUAGGGCACGCUUGCUUCGCCAUGAAGAAAGAUCUAGAAGAGUAUAUGGACUAUGACGUGGGGGAGAUCUGCAACGACGACUGGAGACUAGCUCAGAAGCUUAUGGUUCACGGUUGCGAUCCGUUGCCUAGAAGACGGUGUUUCUCCCGUGCACCGCAGCUAUAUUACAAACCGUUUCCGAUCAACGAGUCUUUGUGGAAGCUUCCGGAUAACCGGAACGUCAGAUGGGGACAGUAUAAAUGCAAGAACUUUACUUGUCUUGCAAGCAACACGACAGCAAGAAAAGGGUUCUUCAAAUGCACUGAUUGCUUCAACCUCACGCAUCACGAGUUGCCGAGAUGGGUUAACCGAGGAGAACUCGAUCCAGAGACAAACCAAACUGCUGAUUUCUCGAUACAAGAAGUACUUGAAAUCAAACCGGGAGAGAUUAGGAUCGGUUUGGACUUCAGCGUUGGCACGGGGACUUUCGCAGCGAGGAUGAGAGAAAGUAACGUCACCAUUGUAACAGCAACAAUCAACCUAGGAGCUCCAUUCAACGAGAUGAUCUCUCUGCGUGGUUUAGUCCCAUUGUACUUAACCGUGAACCAACGGUUACCUUUCUUCGACAGCACGCUUGAUAUGAUUCACACGACGAGGUUUCUUGAUGGAUGGAUCGAUCUGAUACUUCUGGACUUCGUGCUGUUUGAUUGGGACAGGGUUUUAAGACCAGGUGGGUUGUUGUGGAUAGAUAGUUUCUUUUGUCUGAAAGAGGAUUUGGGUGAUUACAUGGAGGCGUUUAAAGCUUUGAGGUAUAGGAGACAUAAGUGGGUUGUGGUGCCUAAGAGAGAUAAAGAUGAUAAAGAAGUUUUCUUCUCUGCUGUGUUAGAGAAACCUCCAAGACCCUUUAGAUGAUUCAAUCAUUGCCUAAUGCUGUGUGUUUACUAUUGUCUUUGUAACAGAAAAUGUGAAAAUACGAUAUAGUUUGACUAUAUGUUCCGAUUAUUGUUAUUGUUCUUCUUACAGAUAAAAGGUGUUUUACAUAUCUGACAUUAUAUAUUUGUAAUAAAAAACACUAAAGAGGAUGUUAUUCUUGUUCAUGUAUUUUAAUUGAUUUGUAAACCCACAUGUGAUUUACAAAUCAAAAUAAAAUUUCUUAAAUUAAAAAUCUAACGCAUGGAUUUUAAUUAGUAUUAUUAUUUAUAAAUCCAAAUAUUUUUAGUGGGAUUUCUUUGAGUAACUCGGAUUAAAUAGAUCUAGUAAUAUUGUUCAAAACGAUGUUUAAUACAAGAAGAAAGUAUUCUUGGAACUGCUGUUCUUCCAAAUUGUUUUACAUAUGUUUGGUUUUUCAUUUAGUGUCAAAACGGGUCACCUCGUUGGACUAGUUUAUCCAUCUACAAAUUAACUUCUUGUAAAGCUAUGGAAACGAUAAAGGAGUUGAUGAUGGUCCAAAAACCCAUCAAGUUGAAUGAGGGAAAUUUCGGACAUUGGAAGUAGGGGUGGGCACUUUACCCGAAAUCCGAAGUGGCACCCGAACCCGAUCCGAAAAACCCGAACCGAAAUCCGAACCGAAGUAGCAAAAUAUCCGAACGGGUAUUAAAUUAGGAGAGAUUGGAUAUCCGAACCCGAACGGGUAAUAUCCGAACCCGAAUGGAUAUCCGAAGAUAACCGAACAUAUGUAUAAUUAACCUUAUAUUUUUAAUUUACAUCUUUCAUUUUAUAUAAAAUAUUUAUAUUGAUACUACACAUACUUUAAAUUCAUAUGAUAUACAUACAAUUACGUAGAAGAUGAUUUGCUAUGCACUUAAAAUACAUGUCAAACUUUUUAUUUCAACAAUUAACAAAAAGUUACAUCCAAAAUUUAAAAACAAUAACCAAAUUAAUGUCUUUUUAGUUUGAAAAUGUUAUGUCCAAAUCUAAUAACCAUUCAAUCUAUUAAAAAUACAAAAAAUAGUUAAGUGAAAGUUAUAUAUUUAAAUACAAGAAAUUUGAAAAAUGAAAAUUUUAAUUUUUUUUUUCAAAAUCUAAAUAUCCGAACCCGAUCCGAAAUAACCGAAACCGAACUAAAAAUACCCGAACCCGACCCGAAGUACAGAAAUACCCGAACGGGUUCUACACCUCUAUACCGAAAUACCCGAAAAUCCGAAAUACCCGAUCCGAACCCGAACGGGUACCCGAACGCCCACCCCUAAUUGGAAGGCACGAAUGAGACGCAUAAUGCGUGGAAUCGAUUGAAUCCUCUGCAGAAACUAUUUUGGUCGUUUUGUGACGCCAUAAAUGUUGGGAACUGUGCAUAGUUUAUAUAGAGAAUAAAUCAACUUAAUUUCCUAAACUAAUAUGGAAUAAUAUAUACUAGAUAAUGAUAAGUUUUCUAUUUUAAUAUAUUGAUGUAUAUCAUAAUAUUGAACGUUGGAGAUCUAGAAAAUCGACUUAAAACUAAUUGGUGAUUAGUGGAUUGACCAUAAAUCUUUAUAUAUUAUUUAAUAUCUCUUAGAAUUUUCCCGAUGUGGGAUAUAAUAUCCCUAAUAGCUUGCUUGCUUGUUAUAACCCAUUUCAUUGAUCGUCUCAACCAGACCCUCACUGGAAAAAACUGAGUACUUAGUUAGAGAAUGUUUGUCUUGUGUUGUAGGAUGCUUGUGGAUUCUUUGGAUGCACAAAUAUAUGAAGAGCAUCAUCAAACAAACCGUUGUUAUCUGAGUUUGACCAAAGUUAGAAACUCGCUCUUUCUUCUCUCAAACAGAUCUAUCCAUGUAGGUUUUGAUUUUUAGUUUCGUCACAUUUCUAUUCAUGGUUACUAGAGCUUAUAGUGAAAGUAUGGGCUUACCACAACGCGAGACGCAAUGUCUACACUCUACAUAGAUCUUGGGACUGGUUUGAUGCAGGAAUAACCACAAACAGAAAGACCGGAGAAGCAAAUGUGGGUGAAGUGGUUUGAAUACACAACUCUGAAAACAAUGGACGAGGAUCUUGCAGAGGAAGCAUGCAUACUCAGAAGACUGUGGCCAGGUUCAAUAGAGAAAGAGAAGCAAAGGAUGAAUGUAAAGUUAAGCUGAAUAGAAUGAGAAGUAAAAAUCAUCGCCAGAAAGUCAUCAGAAAAAUAUGUAAAACCACCACUUGAAGAUGCUUAAAAGAACAGGUUAAAGAUUUAUUUUUCUUAGGUCAUAAGAUUUGUUUCGUUCAUUGGUAUAAAAAAAGGUCUCAAGUCUCAAUCAUUUAUCCUCACUCUCUCGCAUCUCUCUUCGACAGCUUUAACUCUCAGGCGGUGAGCUUAAGGAAGAAGAAAGAGAGAAGAUGGAAGCUGGAAACACUGAGAAGGCUGAGUAAUCGCAUGUUCUUGAGAUCAAUCUCAUCUCGGCGCAAGGACUUAAGGAACCGACAGGGAAGCUCCGACAAUUUCAAACUUAUGCAUCCGUCUAUGAUGAUUCUUCCAGGUUACUUUGGAGUUCCUCUUCAGCAAAACUUCUGGCAUUUCUAUCGAGAUCUGUUCUGUUGGUUACCUGCGAACAUCUGAUCGGAACCGUAUGUUUCCUCCUGAGUAAUUUCCUACCAACCACCACCUUUAAAGUUCCGUCUCUCGUCGUGCUUCAGAUCCGUCGUUCUUCUGGAAAUUUCCACGGUUUUCUUAACAUUGCGGCCUGGUGAAUUGGUGAUCGACGCUUCUGAGCUCCCCGCUGAUUUCUUUAAGUCCGUUCAAGAAAAAGGGGUUGAGAGUCAUCGGGAACAAAAGAUGAUAAAAUCCAGAUCUGUUGUCAGUUUCGAUGACCAAGGCGGUAGUUCGAAAGAUAAUUCGUUAUCUGGAUCUGUAAAUUUCUCAUACGUUGGUACGGACUUAAUGUGGUCUUCUCCUCUUCCGUCUCCCCUUAGAGACUGGAACGCAAUUCGAAAUCAGGCGGGAUAGAAUCAGGUGAGAUCGUCAUCGGACGGCGGAGGAUUGAUGUGUUGUUGCUUGAUGAAAUCGUCGGGCAUGAUACCGGGAAGUUGAUGGACGGCUGAGAUCUCUCCACGUUUGAGAAGUCAUUUUGGUUUUUUUUUUUUUGGGAUUUUAAUGAAACAAACCCUCAACUAUAGGCCCAUCUGUUUUUUAACCCUUAAGUAUUAUAAUAAUGAAAUAAUUCCUUAACUAAAAACUGUUAGAAAAUUUAACUUUCUGUCAAUGGAAAUGUUAAACCCAAAAACAAUUGUUGUAAUGCCAAUUAAAUGAACAAAACGACGAGGCAUAUGGAUUUAUUACAAAAAAACGGCAAGCCUUUUUUAUUAAAAGCAAAAUGAAGUUUGGCUGUCACUAAACCACAAUAAAAAAAAACAUCGGUUUGAAGACCAAGAAAAAUCAGAUAUCAAAAACCCUAAAUUUCAAAAGGUUACGGCAAGUAUGAUACAGGUCUCAAAAUAAUUGGUGUAGGCGACAAAGACAGUUUGUUAGUACGAUUUCAAAGACGAGUGUUCCUUACUCACCAUUCUCUGUAAUCAACUAAGAUUUUGAGAUUUCUACUUCAUCUAGGUUUAAGAUGAUAAGGUAAAUCAAAUUCAUUUCUUGGUUUUUGUAUGUCAACAUUAGUUUCAACAAAAACUGAUCUGUAUCACAAAAUAUAUGAUCAAAACUUAGAAGCAAACAAAAUAAUAACAUACUGAGCUUUUCUUUGUUUGUAUGCAGGACCAGCUUUUUCGAUUAUAUGUGGAUGGAUACUGGACCUUAGAAAGUUUAUAUAUUGGUGGUGAUAUAAGGCGGUGCAAGGUAGAGUUCGAAAAUCCAAGUUUAUCAAUGUUAGUUGAUAUGGUUCAGAAUGAAGGGUUUGAAGAUAAUAUGAAGAAGUUUUCAUAUUUCCCAUCUGAAGAAGACAAUAAUCGGAAGGAAUUGUCUUGUGAUGUUGAUGUUGUAGAAAUGAUUAAUUGCACUCAUGAGUUGGAAUGUAGGAAUCUAUAUGUUGUUAGGGAUGAUGAUCCAUAUUUGGAAGAUGUGCUUGUUGGAGAAGAGGAAGAGGAAGAGGAAGAAGAACCUGAAGAUGAACAUACUGAUUUUUAUCGUGAUGAUUAUGCUGAGACUGAUGAUUCAGAUGAUGAUGGCCAGAAAGUUUCUUUUUUUGUUGGUCAAGCGUUUCUCUCCAAAGAAAGUUGCAAGAAAACGAUUGAGAAGUAUGCUAUCAAAGAGAAGGUCAAUAUUCGUUUUCAAAAAUCUGAAAGUAAGAAAGUAGCGGCAGCAUGUGUACAAGAUUGUUGUAGUUGGAGGAUAUAUGCCUCAGUAAACAGCCGGUCAACUAAUAUGGUUGUGAGAUCAUACAACUGCACUCACACUUGUUAUUCAACAGGUGUAGUCAAAUUAUAUAGCGCACCUAAGAUAGCCGCUGAUUUUUUGAACGAGUUUAGGACUAAUCAAAAUUUGUGUGCAGAUCUAGGGCUGUUCAAUAUGGUAAAACCGAACCGUUCCAAACCGAAUCGAAAUAGACAAUAUGGUUUGAUUUUGGUAUAUACCAUAUAAACCGAAUGGAUAUAAUUUUAUAAAAACCGUAGGAUUUGGAUAUGGUUUGGUAUAUAACCGAUUAAACCGAACAAAACCGAUUAAAAUUAGAAACAUGUAAAUAUGUAUCUAUUUUAUAACAAUACAUGAAAUCUAUUUGUUACAUAAGUUAAAUUUGUGUUAAUAACUAUUACCAUAAUUUAAUUGUAAUAAAAAAACCUUAAUUUAUAAAACACUUGAACUAUAAUUAAAUAACAAUACAUCGUAAUUCAGACAUCUUAUUUUCUAAGUCUUCUUUUUUUAUCUUUUUGCUUUAUUUUAGUAUUCACUAAAUUAAUGUGAAUAUUAUAAAUUUGAUGAACAAUAAUUAAUGGAAAAUUUUCACAACUUUUUUCUUAUCUAUAAACAAACAAAGCUUCGUGUUCAAUCAAAAAAGCAUGACUUUAAUGAACACUAAAUAUGGAAGAGUGGAAAAACUUUUAUUUCAUGUUUUUGUUUUGUUUCAUAUUUUUAUUUUCAAAAUAUCAAGCUUUGAUUUUAAUUAUAGAUUUGAUUAUUUUAUUCGAUGGUAGAAGCAUUUUUACUUUUUUGUUCAUUUAUUUGAACAUGUAAUAUAUUUUUAAUAAAUGAAUGUGUUGACAAUAUGACUCUAAAAUUCAUAUAAUACGAUCUCAAACUAAAUAAUUAUGUUUUUUGGUAUAAAACCGAAUAAACCGAAAACCGACGGUAUAUAAAUCGAACCGAACCGAAGUAAAUAUGGAUUUAGAAUGGUAGUUAUAUUUUACUAGCCGAAAUACCGAAAACCGAAAAAACUGAACCGAUAUCCGGAUUGAACACCUCUAUGCAGAUCAGAUGAUGCAAAGGUUGCUAAUCCAAGGUCUUCGGGUUCCUAAAACAAAAUGUCAGAGUGCAAGACAAAUUAUGUUACACACAAUUAGUGAUGAAUAUGCUGAGCAGUUUACAAGGAUGUUUGAUUAUGUAGAAGAGCUUCGUGAGUCAAAUCCUGGUUCAACUGUGAUAUUAGGGACAAAAGAUAAGGUUUUUGACAAGUUUUACACAUGCUCUGAAGCUCAGAAAACUGGAUGGAAAAGUGCAUGUAGACGUGUUAUUCAUUUGGAUGGAACAUUUCUUAAAGGACGGAUGAAAGGACAACUGUUAAGUGCUGUGGGAAGAGAUCCAAAUGACCAAAUAUUUAUCAUUGCAUGGGCUAUCGUUUCUGUAGAGAACAAAGUCAACUGGGAGUGGUUCAUGACAUUGCUUCAAGAAAAUUUAGAUUUAGAGCUUGGAAAUGGACUUGCACUAUCAUCGGAUCAGCAAAAAGGGCUUCAAAGGUGUCCUUCCUUACGCAGAGCAUAGAAUGUGUGCUAGACAUAUAUGGUCCAACUUGAGGAAAAGACACGGUGAGUCAGGAAAUCUGCAUGGUUUAUUUUGGAAGUGUGCAAGAGCAUACAAUAAGCAAGUUUUUGACAGAAGACUUGAGAAGAUGAAGAGUGCAAGACCUGAGGCUUAUGAAGAAGUGAAGAGAAGCGGGUUCUAACUGGUCAAGGUAUUAAAAUUCAAGUUUAUUUUUCUGCCAUUUAUUUGUUUCAUAAGUGUUUCACUUCUCUAACCAUAAUCUGUUUUUUUUUUCUUAUUGUAGAGCAUUUUUUUAAUGAUUUUACAAAGUCUGCUGCUGUAGAAAACAAUUAUAGUGAGUCAUAUAAUGCUGUGUUAAAAGACGCUCGACGCAAACCAGUGAUCGCAUUACUAGAGGCCAUAAGAAGACAUGUUAUGUCCAGUAAUUUGCUAAAGAUUAAAGAGAUGCAUAAUGCUACAGGGCUGAUCACACCGAAGGCAAAAUCAGUUAUAGAAAAGCGAAAAAAGAAUCUUAAGUGGUGUUAUCCACUUGCUUCAGGAAGAGGUUGGUAUGAGGUGGACCAUGGGAGAAAUAAGUAUCGGGUUUAUGUUCGAGGUGAUGUUUCUUGUACUUGCAGAGCGUAUGAUGUGAGUGGUAUACCGUGUUGCCAUAUAAUGUCUGCUAUGUGGACUGAAUAUGGAGAAACAAAGCUACCAGAAACUGUUGUCUCUGAUUGGUAUUCAGUUGAGAAGUGGAAACAAUGUUAUAGUUCACGGCUUCGUCAUGUGAAUGGAAUGCAAUUGUGGAAAACUCACACUGAUGUUGUAGUUAUGCCUCCUCCGGACAGGAUCAUGCCAGGAAGACCAAAGAACAAUGAUAGAAUCCGUGAGCCAGCUGAAGCUCUUCCAUCCCAGGUUCUAUCUACACGUGAAAAAAUUCAAAUGGUAUUUGCAUUUACUACACAUUUACUCUGUUUUACACUGAGUAGUAUCAAUUGACAUUAUCAUCUUCUGGUCUCUAUUUGCGUUUACAGACCUGCAGUAAUUGUCAAGAAGUCGGACACAAUAUACGCUCAUGCAAGCAUGAAGCCGUGUCUAAACCACCUAAGAGACCUCAAGGAAGACCGAGCAAAAAGCAUAAGAUAAUGGUAGAAGAAGACGUUAUCACUCAGCCAACACAAUCCUCCAUAGUUUCUUAGAAGAUGAUACAAACGUUUCUUUUCUUACGUUAUGCCUUUUGAUGAUGUCAGUUUGUCUUGGUGAAACUAUGUUACACUUUAUGAUGCUCUGUUUUUUUUGGUAUACAAUGUGAUGUUCUGUUUUAAUGAUAAAAUUAUGCUAGUUUGAUCUAUGUUGUUGAUAAAACAAAAGAUAAUGGUUUAAGGAGAUGUUUUUUAAAUGAGAAUAUUUAGUUUUAUAACUCGUUUUCAGCUUAUUCAAGUUCAAUAGUUUUAUUAAUCUUAUAAAAAAUUGAAAGUUUGUUCGUAGAAACUAAGGAAUGACAAUGAUAAUGCUUGUUCACGUUCAAGUCUUAAAUUUAAGAAUUAAAGAUUUUUUUUCUUAGGUUAGUUGUGAUCAUGUCCGUCUCAAACAUAUAAUGGGCCAUGUGCUAUACAAAUUUUGAGGCUCAUUUCUUCAUACAAAUAUGCUUGGUUGUGAUGAUGAUUGUCGCACACUCUGUUUUCUGAAAGUGUGUGUGUGUGUUUUUUUUUUGGUAAUCGUGUGUUUUUUUUUACUAAAGAUUAAGACACCUUGUUGUUUUACUUGUAGAAUUUUGACAACAUGUUGUUUUGUUACAAUAAAACAACACUUUCUUAUUGUUGACGGAAGCUGUCUAGGGAUUAAACGUUCUUAAAAGUAAAGGGUUAAUUAUACUAACAGACUUUAGUUCAGAGGUUGUCUUAUUGGAUGACCGGCUAGGUUCAGGGUUUGUUUUAUUAAAUUCCCUUUUUUUUUUGGUCAAAGUCAUUUUGGUUUCUUAAAGCACACAUCUUGGGCACCUGCACUGCACCCCACCCCUAAAUCAUACGUCGUCGUAAGGAAUUUCCAGCGAUUAUUAGUCUUCUUAACAAAUUCUAAAAUUUCUUGUUGCUGCUAUGAAACAUAAAAUUUCUUCUUGUUGCUAAGAAACAUAAAGUUCAUUUCUUUUUGUCAAAUCAUUUCGUUUGUGAACUCUGAAUAAUUUGUUUCAGUAUGAGUGAGAAGAGAUAUCAUAUAUCAUGACUCUCUAUUUAUUCGUCUUAAGAACAAACCAUAUAUUUUUUAAGCAAAAAAAAACCCCAUAUAUUUUUGAAUUUGUUAACUGCAGCCUUUUUCCGAAACAAGUACUUAGGUUGAAGCAAUCAUGAUAUCUUUACUUGCCUAUGGUGUAUCGUUCUUUCAUGCAUGUUUUUAUCAUCUUCACCAGCUGAACUGGGGUCAACUUUUAAAUAGAUUUCAUUGCCAGUGGAUCUAAGAUAAUAGUUUCAGACUACACAAGAUACAUUGUUGAAACAGGGAGAUUGUACAAUAAUCACAUUACAAGAAAAUUCCAGAUAUAAAGAUGGUUUAUUUUAUUAUUUAAAAAAGAAUCUAUUCGGUCCCAGCGAUCUUCUUCUUCAAGGAAUCAAUAUCCUCAGCCAGUUCCUUUCUACUUGACUGAAACAAAGAUGAACAGAUAUAAUUUGAUUAAUGUCAGAUCAUUGAUGCUUUUAUAGAUUUUAUAACCUUAGUCGCAGCUAUGUUACCUUGAAGAGGAGGUAUCUGUAGACGAACCAUCCUGUGUAGCCGAGACCAACAAGUUCCAUAACUUUGGGAAGCUACACUCGAAACAAACAAACAUCAGUCGGGUCAAACCCAUUACACUUUCUGAUAUCUACAACUAAAAGUUUUUUUUUUUAAAAAGGAUUGUAUUGUUACCAGAGGAACAGAGUUGAUGGCACCAACAACAAUGGAAGAUAACCAAACAGCAACAAUGGCUCCUCCUCCAUAUAUUAUUACAGUCGACUUGUUCUCAAGACCAUCCCACUGCACCAAAACCGAUAAUCAAAACAAAACACAAAGCCAAUCCAACUCAGUUCAAGCAAUGGCUUCUUACCUUUUCCUUCAAGUCUGUGAAGAGUUCGUUGGUGUCAAUGGACGUUGAGGUCUCAUCUGAUGAAGAAGCUCUCAUCUUCAUCAAUUCACCCUUCUGCGAACCAUUACCUGCGAUUUAAACCGUACAAGAUCUAUUAAACCAAGAUUAUAUUAUAAAACCGAGCUUAAUUUUGAAUUUAAACCACUAUACCGAACCUGAAACUAGCUUCGGCGGAACAGUGAAAGAGGAUCGGCCAAAAGAGCGAGGAGGCAGCGGAGGAAGGUAAGGAACGGCGGAGAAGCGGUCGGAGACGGAGGUGACACGUGGAAUCAUCACUGCCACAGAGGACGAAGCUGCUACUGUCAUCGCCAUCGAAACACACCAGAUAAUCUAUUCUUCUUCUUCUUCACACUCGAUUUUCUUUUCAGCUGCGCUUUUUUGACUAGACAAGGUUUCGUAUAGCAACACGUGGACGUUCCUUGUGGUCUUAUUGGUUGCUGCUCUUAUCUUUAGAAAAUCCAACUGAGUGGUGUUUAUAGAAUGCAAGGUUUAAGGCCCAUUUAUAAUAUGGAUCCAUUAUACAAACCAUUGUAUAAUCCAACUCUUUUGUCGUAUCCUCUCUAUGUCUAGUCUAGGUGAGGGAACAUAUGAAGAACAUGCAUACAUGGAAAAAGGAUCAUUCAAACCGUUGAUCUUGUCUUACGAUAAUUACGACUUAUGCGGAUGAUACGAAAACUAUGGGGAUGACUGGAAGGAGCUGUAAAAAUAAAACUGUAGAUUUUUGUUUUUUGUAGUUGUAGAUAAUUUUGGUGUAGAAUAUCAGCCGUAGGUUUAAAAAGAUUAACAUAUAAAUUUUUUUAAGCAAAAAUAAGUGUUGUAGAUUUAUGGUUUUUCACGGCUAAUAAUAAAUAAAAAAGAAAGAAAUUUUUUUUCACAAACCGAGGUGCAUUCUGGACAAAAAUACUUUUCUUCUUUGUUGAUGGGUACUUUGUGUUCUGGUUGAAAUAAUGUUUAGUUAGUAGACAAUUUAGUUUGUACGAGUUAUUAUAGAAAAGUGAGUUUUUUUAUUUCAUUCUAUUUUCAACAUCUUUUAUUCUUCUUUAUUUCAUAUAUCUAAUAUAUAAAUAAAUACAUAUAUAUGUAUGUAUAUAAAAUUAAAUAUAUGUGUGUUUCUUUUUAUUUUGAAAUCCAUAUUAAUAUAUUUUGAUAAUUUAAUUUUUUUAGUUUAUGACCACAUCAACAUGAAUAACAUAAUAUAUGAAUUGUGGAUAUGUAUUUUAUUAGCACUUGUGGAUAAGCUUUAACAAACAAACUGUGGACAGAGCAAUGUGGAUGGCUAAACAUAUUUGAUUAUAUGCAAUCAAACUUGUGUAUACAACUUUUUUACAAUCAUGUAUUUCUCUGCUUUUUUUUAUUUAAACCAAAAAGAAGUAUAAACAAUGACUUUAAUCUUAAAAGUGGUUUUGUGGAUGAAGAUUCGACAUACUAUGGACAAAGUCUUGUGGAUGAGGUUUUGUGGACACAACAAAAGGAUAUCAAUUAGAAUCAUGCCCACGAAGACAAUAGACAUGUAAAAUUGAAAAGCCGAUGAAGUUAGUGUCCACCAAAACUUAGUAACACAAAAAGAUUAAAACUUUGGCAAAGAUUAAAGCUUACUUCCCGAUGAAAUCACAUGCUUCACGAUUUCAUGAAAGAUCAAGAACUCGUCGAUUAAUCCGCUGCCGCCGCCGUCAAACAAGCUCUUGUUGGUGGAUAUUUAAGAGAGAGUGGAGUUGACACGAAAAAUCGAUCGAGAGAGGAGACAGAAGAUAUUUUAGCAUAGGAUUAAGGUUAGUGAUAAGGGUUCUUGUUCUUCAUCUGGUAGAAUAGAAACAAAAGAUAAUGGAAUUAGGGUUAGUGAUUUGGGAACACAAUUGGGAAAGUAGGCUUUCUCAAUUUAAUUUUUAAAAUUUAAAACAUUAAUUAAAAGCAUGAUUAGUUAGAAUAAUAAUUAAUGAGAGAUUUUGACAAAAAAGAAAGUAACGAGAGAGGAGAGAGGAGAGCAACACAAAAAACAAGAGAGGAUAGAGUAGUGUUUCAAGGGUAUAUUGGACAAUGAACAACUCAAAAGUGUGUGAUAAGUGGAAUAUGUCUUUGAAUGAUAUUAGAAAGUCAAAAUGUGUCUAUAGAUGUAAUUUUUUCUUUUCAAAAAUCUUUACAAAGCAUGAUUGACAAAAAUGUGAACUGUAAAAAUAAUUUAGGCUGUAAAAAGAUCUUAUAAUCACUUGUAAAGCACUUGUCAAUCAACCCAUAUAUGAAUAUAAAGGAGGAAUUCGAACAAGGAACCUUAAAAUACUAAUCUUAUCAAAAAAAAUUUAACCACAUUAAUCUUAUCAAUUUAAGUUGGCAAAAACGGAUUGAAGUCAUCUUUUUUUUUUCUUUGACAACACGGAUUGAAGUCUAUAAUCCACAUCUAUAUUCAUUUCUAUAUUUUUUUUCUAAAACAAAAAUUUUUAGCACAUUUUUGGAGUAUUUUUAUAUUCAUAUAUAUAUAUAUAUAUUAUGUUUACCAUCGCUCGAUUUUAGAGUAUUUUAUUUUCCUCUUGACUGCAUCCACAUUCAAAAAGAAAUGUGCUAAAACAAACCCCACUUAAAAAAAAAAAACCCCCACUAAAACCGAGCGAUGGUACAGCUCUUCCUCACCUCAUGCUUCCCUAGUGCUUUCAACGACUAACCAAUACUCAAUUUUAUCCUUUUUGGAUAGAAAUGUAAUUAUGUAAAUAUAAUUAACAUGGCAACGAAGGUUUGGUUACAAAUGAAUUUGAAAUCCCAUUUGCUAUAUAGCUAAUACGAUCCUAAUUAAGAGCUUCAAAAAGUUUUUUUUUUUUUUUGGAAAACCCCAUAGCAUCAAAUAUAAUUCAAAGCUUGGCUAACUAGAACGAAUCUAAAAAAGUACAAAGAAGCAACAAACUGCAGCAUUAAAUUUUGUUAAGGUUGACGCACUAGUUGCUGAGACCAUGACUCUGAGGUCAAAACUACGCCAACUGAACGAUGAGUCUGAGAAACUACGGCUGGGGAACGAAGCUUUAUUGGUAACAGUUUACGCAAACAUAUCACUUAUAUACGUACUGCAAGUAAUCUACUUGUAGUGGAAAGUCAGCUAGCCGCUUGCUUAGAUUUGUAGCUCUCUAUAUUCCGAGCAGAAAUUGAUCUAAUAUCAUCCUUGAGCAGAAAAGAUUCCUGAGUGCGAUCUGAUCUGUAACCACUUGACUGGUGAUGAUAGAUAGGUUUAGUUAUAUUUUCUAAGCGAAUGGACUAGAGACAAGGGGACGUAGUAGUUUAUGGUGGCUUUAAUUAGAGUACUUUUCAUGUGAUUUGUGUAAAUUUUUCCAAACUUAUUCUGUUUACCAUUCUAUAAGGGGAUGGAUAGCAAAUCUAUUUUUAUUCAUUUCUUUAUUUUUAUUUCAAAAUAGAAUAAAGUUUUAACGUAUAAUUCAUUUUAGUUAAGAAGUUAUUUUAUUAAAAAAAAUACAUUAGACUUAUCUAAAGCGUAUUAAUUAUUUAUAUAAGACGUUAUUUUAUUUUGAAGAAAAAUUGAGUGAUACGAGAUGUUAGUUUUAUUAUGUAUAUCAUUUAAUAUAUAUAUAUAUAUAUAUAUAUCAACGUGCUUCCCUCAACCGGUAACGUGAGCCUGUUUGUGUUACACUGCAAGUUACUUGUGAAAACAUUGAGCAGUUCAAGUUCCAGAGAGCCAAAGGGCACGUCAGGUUAAUAAUUUCAGUAAGUGGCCAAAGUGUCGGAAAAUAUUUGUUGUUCUUUAUGUUGGUUGUUGGUAGGAUUACGUACAAUCAUUUAUUUGUAUUUUAUAGACGAACGAUCAUAUAAAAAUUUUAAAUAAUCAAAUGAUGAAAGAGUCAUUUUGUGACUAUAGUUGAUAUACACGGAGAAGAACAGAGAUCACACAAGUCCUACGCAUUCCAUGGCCGCGGCAGAGAUGUUUCUUAAACCGGUGCUUCAGAAACCACCCGGCUACCAUGAGCUUCACGCGCCUCCUGAAACUCCAAACGCAUUAUCAUCUUCAUCCACGCUUCGUCGCCGGCCACCUAAGUAUAUGAUCCCGCCGUCCUUUUAUCCGGAUAAGAAGAAAAAGUGGAGUCGUUGCCGCGUCUUUUGCUGCUGCUUCUGCAUCACCGUCGCAAUAUUCAUCCUCCUCCUUAUCAUCGCCGUCUCCGUCUUCUUCCUAUGGUACAGCCCGAGACUCCCCGUCGUACGACUCGCCUCCUUCCGCGUCAGCAACUUCAACUUUUCCAACGGGAAACCCCGCGACGGUUUGUCGCACUUGACGGCGGACGCUUCGGCGAGGCUCGAUUUCAGAAACCCCAAUGGGAAGCUACGGUACUAUUACGGCGACGCUGACGUGGCGGUGAUCGUAGGAGAUGGCGAUUACGAGACGAGUCUAGGGUCAACGAAAGUCAAAGGGUUUGUGCAAAAGCCGGGGAAUCGGACGGUUGUGAUCGUUCCGGUUAAAGUGAAGAGAGAAGAGGUGGAUGAUCCGACGGUUAAACUGCUUCGAGCGGAGAUGAAGAGUAAGAAGUUGGUGGUGAAGGUGACAGCUAAAACGAAGCUGGGAUUGGCUGUGGGAAGGCGUAAGAUUCUUACGGUGGGGAUUACUCUCAGAUGCGGUGGCGUGACGUUACAGAACCUGGAUAAACAGAUGGCUAAAUGCACCAUCAAAAUGCUUAAAUGGUACGUACAACUACUACUACCUUGAUUAAUGAUUAGUGUACAUAAAUAAAUAAAUUAUUUAAAUCGCAGGAUUAAGUUGCACUCAUAAGCAAUGAUCAUGAUGAUGGAUAUCAUUUUUCAUCAAAGAUUCAUCAGAACGUUAUACGACUCGAAGUGUUCAGGCUUCACGAAAGUGUCACAGUAUCUGAUUUUUGUUGUCCUUAUUGUUUUUUACUGAAAGAUUGCAUAUAAAUGAUUUGUGAUCCAAUAUUAAACCAUUCGUUAUCAUUUUAAUUUCGAUUGAUUAUAAAUAUGUAUCUCAGGAGGAAUAUAAAUGUAUUCACACAUUCGUGUACGUGUGUUCGUGUUCAGAGUUAUUCAGACAUAACUAACCCUGCCACAUGCUUAGCAAAAUAAAGGUACGUCCUGUUUCGUGCUUUACAAUUCUAUGACACCAUAUGCCGUUUUAUCAAGAAAAGACGGUACACAUUUCCUCGAUAGGUUACUAAAACGGCAUGCACUCUUCAAAAACACACGAAUUAUUCAACUAAUCCACAAGUUACUAAGAGUCAUAAAAAUAAUGGAAAUUUAAGACGCAACCAAAACCUGUAAACACAAACUCAGUAGUAGCAAAUAGGUUUUGCUAUCUAUAGUUGGCCUCUCACUUAUUUGAUUCAGAAGAACACUCUAUCUAUAAAUAGAAAGAAAGAACGAAAAAAAAAGAUGAAAUAGAACCCUAUAGCCUUUCAUCCCUUCAACGGAUGCUGGCAGGAGAUUCAAAUAAAAGCACCUAAGUUUCGAGCUUCUCUUCUGUCUCCUAGGCUACAAAAGUAGAAAGUGUGCUCUCUUCUUGAAGAUAUCAUCAAACUGACUCAGUCUGAUAUCCUAAACUCAACUCCUAAAACGUCUUUCACCAUCUCAUAUGUCACAAAUGUCAAUAUUACUAAUUAUAAAUGUAAGUUAAUUCAUUAAAGGUGUCAGUGUAAUCAACCAUCGUGAGAGUUAACGUAAAAGCGACACAUAGGAAACUGACUUCUCAAAUAAUAUUAUAGAGAUAGUUUUUUUUUAAAUAUUUCACCUAGAAGCAAGUUGCUCCAACUUUGUUUUUGUUUUAAUAGUAUUAAUAUAUUUAUAUUACAUAUAAUGUACACAUUAGAGCUCUUAUAAAACUUAACUAGAUUUUAAUCCGCACACCCGUGCGGAUAACAUUUCAUUUAUAGAUAUAAAAUUUUAUAUUAUUUUGUAUAGAAUAAUUUAUGAUAAUAUAUUACUGUCAUUUUUAAAAUAACUUAAUAGAUGAUAUAUAGUUCUAAAUAUUAAAAUUUAACAUAUGUUAACAACUUUAUUUUUUGUAAAAAUUAUUACAUAAUUUAUGAAUAUUAAUCAUUUUAAAAGGUGAAUGAUAUUUAGUCACUUUAAACGGUGAAUGAUAUUUUAUUUAUUUAUCUUAAUUAAAUUAUUUUUCAAAGUAUAUUGGUUUACCAAUUCAACAUAAUUUUAAUAUGUUUGCACAAAAAAAACAUAAUUUUAAUAUGUAAUUCAUAAAUUACUUCUAUUUUAAUAUAAUGUAGAAUAUACCUAUACAAUUUAUAAAAUUAGCAUAUAAUUUAAUUAUUUGGUUUAUGAUAAAAAUUUAAUUAAAAUUAAUUUAUAAUAAUAUUAUACUACUAAUUGCGAAAUUAAUCAGUGCAUUAAUUAAAAGAAUUUUAAAAAGAUUUUGUUAGAUUUUUUCUCAACAUAUUUUGUUGUUCCUAAAAAUAAAAUUUAAAUUUAUAGUUAAAAAUAGAUUUAUUAUUAAUAUCCUUAUAAUUAUUUAGAAAUAUUAUACAUUAAAUAAACUAAUGUAAACAAUAAAAAAUUAUUUGAAUUUAUGGAUCUAGAUUUCUAGUAUGACUAUUUUGUAGUAGAUAAAAAUGGUACUUUUUUUUUAAUAGAUAAGAUAUAUUAUUAAUUCUAUCAGCUUAAGUGUGUGAUCUAGUAGGAUCAUAUAAUAUCACCAAUGAAUUCAUGAUUGUAACUAGUUUUUAGUAAAACAUUGUAACCACCUAAUAUUGUAGGAUUAUCAAACUUCAACACUAUGACGUUAACAAGAGCAAGUACAAACGACACUCUUGAGAAUUCAGAGAUUUUUCUGCUAUGGUCGAUAGAAACACUAGCAAAACAUAGCAAAUUUAGAUUUUUGACUUACUGUGAGUUUUUGUUAAGUUUUUUCGCCAGAUCCAUAAUCAAUUGUUUUUUUUUUUGAAAAAAAGCAAUAAUCAAUUGUUUUAAUUACAACUAGAUUUUGACCCGUGCAACUGCACGGGUGUUUGUUUUCACUUUUUUAUAAAUAAAUUAUUGUUUUAGAACAUAAGUGGUAUAUAUUUUUAAUGUUAAUCAUAUACUUAAAUAUUUAUAUAACUAUUUCAAAUACAAUAAUUUUAUAAUUUACAUGUUAUAAUUAAUUAAUUGUUUAAACCUUAUGUAUUUGCCACUUCUUAUUAUAUAUUUAUCUUAUUGUAUUUGCAUUUAGUUAUUAAGCAAAUUAAUAUAUUCAUGAAAAAAUAUAUUUAAAAAAUAUUUUGUAUAUAAUUUAGGAUAAAUUCUGACCCGUAUUUCAAAACUGGUUUUCUUUUUACCAAUAUUUUUAUGCUUAUUCAUUUUAGAUCAUUUAUUAUUGUAUAUAUAAAAUUGUAAGAUAUGUUAAUUUUUAGACAUGUUAUAUAGUUUGUUAAUUUUUAGCCGUUCUAUCAUCAUAUUAUAUUUUAAAUAAAUAGUUUAUAUUUAUGAAGAUAAAAUUUAUAAAUUUAUCAAUUGAAUAUAAUUUAUCAUAUUUAUUUUAGUAUAAUAAUUAUAUUUUAACAUGAUCAUGACUAUAAAAGUAGAUAAAAUAUGAUAUAAUUUAUUUAUUUUCAUUUCUAAACGAUAACUUAAAAUACAUCAAGUUAUUGUUUAAAUAUUUUUACACAGAUUUAUUAAAAAAUUUAAAAUAUAAUAUAUAAAUAUAUAUUAUAUUUAAAAUGAAAAUAUAUUAUGAUUAAAGUAGUUACAAAGAUUUUAUAUUAUUAACUUUAUAGAAAUACAUGUUAAUUUUUAUACAUGUAUUAUAUAGUUUGAUAAUGUUAACCCAUCUUACCAACAUAUUAAAUUUUAUUUUUGAACAUAAAUAUUUUAUAAUUACGAAAAUAAAAUAUAUAAAUAUAUAAAUUUAAUACAAUUUUAUUAUAUUUAGCUCAAUAUAAUAAUUUUAUUUAGCUCAAUAUAAUAAUUUUAUUUUAAUAUGAUUGAUUAUGAUUAUAUAAUAAAUAAAAUACUAUAGAUUUUUUUAUUUUUCAUUUUAUAUAACUGAAUAUAUUAAUGUAUAAUAAUAUUUUAAACUAAUUUCAAAAUUAGUGAAAAUAUUUAAAUAUAAUUUUGAAAAUGAAGAUCUUGUAAAAAUCUUUUCAAACAGAUUUGUUAGACUCUUAAAAUAAAUAUAUUUAUAUUUAAAAUGAAAAGAUAUCAAAAGAUAUUAUGAUUAAAAUAUUUUAAAAAUUCUAUUUAUUAUUAGUUUAAAUUAAAAUGUAGUAUGAAUUUCUAUGAAUAGGUCCAUUAGGUCCAUUUUUAAAAUAAUCACACAUGAAUCAAGGUUGUGACUUCUGUUUUAAUAUAUAAGAUAUCUCAAGUCUCAAACACCAUAAACAGAAGAAGCCAUAUUUUAGAUAAUAGAUACUUUAAAAUCUUCUAAAGUUAAUUGAUAUCGUUCAAAUGAUACAUUUUUAGCUAACCCCUUUUUUUUUUUUAGCUAACCCCAUUUUAACCAUAGUAUUUUUAGUUUUAAACACAAAUUAAAGGUUUAGUAAUAUAUAGGGGUUGUGAGAUCGUAAUAAUACACACAAGAACCCUCAAUAUAAAGCCUUUACUUAGCACCUUAUCAGUUCAAAUGAUACAAGAUAUAAACGUUAAUCACACAAGUUACAACCACAAAGAAUAAAAAAUAUUUAAAAAAAUAAAAACAGUUCUUGAAACUUUGAAUCAAUGGAGGAAUCAAAAGCGCCUCACGUUGUGAUGAUACCGAGUCCUGGAAUGGGCCACCUCAUCCCAUUCGUCGAGUUAGCUAAACGACUCGUCCACAACCAUGGCUUCACCGUAACCUUCGUCGUGGUUGGCGAAGGUCCACCGUCAAAAGCUCAGAGAACCGUCCUCGACUCUCUCCCUUCUUCAAUCUCCUCCGUCUUUCUCCCUCCCACCGAUCUUACCGAUAUCCCGUCAACGGCUCGCAUUGCAACUCGCAUUUCUCUCACCGUGACCCGUUCGAACCCGGAGCUCCGUAAAGUCUUCAACUCUUUCACGGCGGAUGGUCGUUUGCCGACGGCGCUCAUCGUCGAUUUGUUUGGAACGGAUGCUUUCGACGUCGCCUCAGAGUUUCAAGUGUCACCGUAUCUUUUCUACCCAUCAACGGCCAACGUCUUGUCGUUUUUCCUAAAUUUGCCUAAACUUGACGAAACGGUGUCGUGUGAGUUUAGGGAAUUAACCGAACCGGUUAAGCUUCCUGGAUGUGUACCGGUCUUUGGUAAAGAUUUCCUCGAGACAGCUCAAGACCGGAAAAACGACGGAUACAAAUGGCUAUUACACAACACCAAGAGGUAUAAAGAAGCCAAAGGGAUUCUUGUGAAUACCUUCGACGAGCUAGAGCCAAAUGCUAUAAAGGCCUUGCAAGAACCUGGUCUUGAUAAACCACCUGUUUAUCCGGUUGGACCGUUGGUUAACAUUGGUAAGCGUGAGGGUGACCAGAGUGAAGAGUCUGAAUGCUUAAAGUGGUUGGACAACCAACCAUUCGGUUCGGUUUUGUAUGUGUCCUUCGGUAGUGGCGGUACACUCUCAUGUGAGCAGCUUAAUGAGCUUGCUCUUGGUCUUGCAGAUAGUAAGCAACGGUUUCUUUGGGUCAUACGAAGUCCGAGUGGGGUUGCUAAUUCUUCGUAUUUUGAUUCACAUAGCCAUACUGAUCCAUUAACAUUUUUACCAUCCGGAUAUUUAGCUCGCACCAAAGACAGAGGUUUCGUGAUCGCCUCUUGGGCUCCACAAGCCCAAAUUUUAGCCCAUUCAUCCACAGGAGGAUUUCUUACUCAUUGUGGAUGGAAUUCAACUAUGGAAAGUAUAGUAAAUGGUGUUCCACUUAUUGCAUGGCCAUUAUACGCUGAGCAAAAAAUGAAUGCGAUUUUGUUGACGGAAGAUAUCCAUGUGGCGCUUAGAGCCCGUGCAGGGGUUGAUGGGCUGGUGAUGAGAGAAGAGGUGGCUAGAGUGGUGAAGGGAUUAAUGGAAGGUGAAGAAGGUAAAGGAAUGAUGGAAGGUGAUGAAGGUAAAAGAGUGAGGAAUAAGAUGACAAAACUGAAGGAAGGAGCUUGUAGAGUGAUGAAGGAUGAUGGGUCAUUUACAAAGGCUCUUAGUCAGUUAGUCUUGUAAAUGAAAAGAGAGCUAGAGCAAAACGGUAAGCAUUCAAAUAAUCUUAUAUUUAUACUUUUAUUAAAAUAUGCAAGUGAUUUGCCUCUAGUUUCAGUCUUGAUUGUUUUUAUGAAUGUAUGUGUGUGUCAGUGUGUGUGUUUUUUUUGCGGUGGUCUUGUUAGUUGACAUAGACCCUAUCUUUAAACCACUUGUAAUAUCAGAACCCAGGAUGAGUUGCUCGGCGGUACCAUUACCGGCUGGGUAUAUGAUAAGUGUACAGUUUGUAAAUAUUAUUGUAUGUUCUCUUACCGCAAUAUAUAUAUAUACUCUUUUACGUUUCAAAGCAGACCAAACUGGUUUGUAACUUUAUCAGUAUUACAAUAUCUGUAGUAGUUGAUUCGAUUUUAUGUCGAUAUUAUUCUACUAUGUAACCAAAAUAUAAUUGAUUGGAAAAAAGAGGUAUGUAAUGAAAUAGUAUGAUUACGAAAAAAAUAUAUUAUUUUGUCACAACUAUGACUUGUCAUAUUCUAUAACAUUUAUUUCAGUAUAAUCUUUAAGGCGUUUGGUAAAUAAUUUACUUGUAAAUCUUUAUACACCGUUUCUUAAGCUUGUAGACUAUAUUUGCACGAUAAGAGUGUGUGGCGGCCACUUGCCAAGCCUUAACCUAUCGUCAUUUGGACACUGAUAAGAGUUGCCCGAGAUGCAUGCGCAGUAGAAACAAACGAUUAGUCAUCUCAUUUUAAGUGCUUUGUCCUUCAAAUUUGGGCUCUUUUUGACUUCUCAUCCCUUUCGGAUUUUUUCCUAGUACUUUUUUUAUAUCAAAGCAUAAACUUUUUAUAUUAGAAGACAAAAUGGUUGGGCAUCCCAGAUCCAUAGUAGAAUAAUAACUUCCCUUGGAUUUUAUGAUGCAUUUGAAAACCGAUGAAUGAUAAAAUUUUCAAUUAGAAAAGAAAUAUCCCCAUUUAAUACCCUUCAAUUAGCAUCUCUAGAAGUGGAAAAUUGGAGGAUUGCAAAACAAAAAGAAUAUGAGGAAGAAGUGGACAAAGAGCACAUCCCUCGGAGGCAGAAGCCACAUUAGCUGAUAUAAUUGGAGUUAGGACUAUACUCUUAAAAAUAUAGAGCAUGCUCAUGAAAAAUCGAGCUGAGCUCAGCCAGUUCAAAAGCUAUAAUUCAUUUUGACACUUCAAUAUAUCACUUAUACGUAGCAGACAAUAAACAGUUUGGAGAAAAAAAAGAGAAAAAGGAAAGAAAAUAAUCUAGCUCGAUUUGAUACAUUGGUAUGUACAUCUGUUUUCUCAAAUUUACCAUCCACGCAUUUAAUCCUCCAUCGCCAAUGACAAAUCGAACAAGACUUUAUGAAGAUAGUCCUAACUCCAAUUAUAUCAGCUAAUUUGGGUAUACCUGAAAUACUCGUACUUUUAAUUUAAAUAUUCAAACCCAACCAAUUUGAAAAAUUGUCCAAAUGGGUAUUAAAAUUCUAAACCAAAAUACCAUAAAAUCUAAAAUAUUUGAUAUGAACCCGGUUGGAUAACAUCUACGAAAAAAACCACAAGUUUAAGGUGACGUGGCAUAGCUCUGAGGCGAUAUUUUGGCGAUUAGGGUUUCAAGGUGGUUUCUUCUCCAAGGCAUCUUGCCGGCGCCGCCAAAGGUGCUCCGAUGGAGGCUCCGGCUAAUUCCGUCUCGUCUGAGAUAGGCUCUCCGCCUAGUUCAACUCCGGUUCCUUCUAAAGGCAAUUGGGUUCGAGCGGUCCAAGGUGAACAGAAAGGUCUGAAGAAGUACGAGGUUAACGUGGUGAUGAAGGAUGGAGUGGGAUCGAUCAUGGUUCCUGACGAAGUGAAGGAUGCAUCUCCCUUAUGGGAUGAAUUUCUUAUGGGAAAGUUUCUGGACAAAGCGCCUCACAUCGCUAAAGUCCAUGCUAUAGUGAAUAAGAUUUGGGGUUUGGGAGAUAAAACACAGAUGGUGGAGGUGUAUAUUAUCAACUCGAACACUAUGAAGUUUAGGGUUCCAAACUCUUCAACGAGGAAACACAUCCUUCGGCGGGGUAUGUGGAAUUUGGCUGGUAUUCCAGUGGUUAUGUCUAACUGGUCUCCUUUCAUUGAGGAGGAUCAACCAGAAGAGAAAUCCAUCCCGUUAUGGGUACAUCUCAAACAUGUCCCAAUGAAUAUGGUAUCCUGGAAGGGUUUGAGUUUGAUAACAAGUCCAGUGGGAGUUCCUGUUAGGCUCCAUCCGGAAACCGCACAAUGUAUUAAUUUAAAAAAAAAAAAAAAAAAAAAAAAAAAAAAAAGAAGUUGCCAAGAAUAUUUGUGAAUGCUGAUCUCACAAAAGAACUUCCUAAAUCGAUGAGUUUCAACCUCAACGGUAAAGAGACUCUUGUCGAAUAUGUAUACCCUUGGCUCCCCUCGAGGUGCUCUAACUGUAUGAAGUGGGGCCAUCUGGAGCAAGCAUGUUUGGCUCCAAAGAAGGUUUUGGAAGAAAAAACAAAUCCAGAGGUGGAAGAACAAACAAAUGUAGAGGUGGAAGAUGGUGAAAUUGUGGGUUCAUCAAUUAAUGAGAUUGAUCACUUGGUGAAACAAGCUGAUCCGCAGGGUACGGAGGUUCCUGUUGCAGAUCAGUCAAAGGAUAAGGAAGCAGAGCAGAGUAUGGAGUCUGGUGGGGAGAAUGAUAGGACUCGGGUGUUGGAUGUGGAAGUAGAGGAAAAUAUGGGUUUCACAGAAGUAAUAGUGAGGAACCAAUCAGCAGAAGAGAUUACCCCAAAGGAGUUGGAGUGGUCUGAUGUGUCCCCAGGAAAGCUAGUAGAUCACCUAAGAAGAUGACAGAGCCUGAACAGGUCUUGACUACUUCAAGAUUCUCGGUUCUUGCUUCAACAGAGGAGGAAGAGGAGGUUGAUGCAGAUACCGUCCAGGAGGGGACUGCAGAUUCCGUUCAGGAAGGUUCUGAGAAUGCUGACAACCCUAUGACAGUAGAUACGCUGAGGAAGACUAAUCAAACAAGAGAGAAGGACCAAACUGCGAUUAUCAUGCGGCAGUCUCUACCAAGAGACUCUAAAGAUAAGCACAGGUUUCUAUCUGACCCGAGUGCUCAGAAAGCCAAGGAGGGCGCACCUCUGGCUUCGAGCAAAAAGUCCACUCGCAAAAAUAAUUAAUGUCUGGUUUCUUCUGGAACAUCAGAGGACUCAAUAAAAAAACUAAACACUCUGUAGUUCGAGAAUGGAUCAGAAAGGGAUCGUUCCAGUUUGGCUGUCUACUGGAGACGAAAGUAAAGGAAGCAAAAGCAAAUCGUCUUGCUGAAUCAAUUUUUGGAGACUGGUCUUUCCUGUCUAAUUAUGAAAAUAAUAGAUUGGGAAGGAUUUGGAUUGUCUGGAGUCCGAAGGUUAGAGUGACUCCUUGUUUUAAGAGUGACCAAGUAAUCACUUGUGCCAUCUUACUGGAUGGUAUGGCUGAAGAAAUAUUUUGUUCUUUUGUUUAUGCUGCUAACACAAUGGAAGAGAGAAGGGAGCUAUGGCAGGAUCUGAAAUCACAUCAGGACUCGCCUAUGAUAAGGAACAAGCCAUGGUUGGUUUUUGGAGAUUUUAAUGAGAUAUUGGAUGAAGAAGAGCACUCAUGGAAUGAGGACAUGUCGUUGGUGUCAAAUGGGAUGAGAGAAUUUCAAAGCAUGGCCAACUAUUGCUCGCUUAUUGACAUGUCUUAUCAAGGUCUCAAGCUCACUUGGAGCAAUAAAAGGGACAAUGACUUGAUUUGCAAGAAACUGGAUCGUACCUUGAUGAAUGAUUCAUGGUUGCAUAAGUUCCCUCAAGCUUAUUGUGUCUUUGAGGCGGGAGGUUGCUCUGAUCAUAUGCGCUGUAGGAUUGUGAUCCAGGAGGGGGUGGCUAAAGUUCGAAAACCUUUUAAAUUUAUUAAUGCUAUUGCUGAGUUCCCGGAGUUCCUUCCUUUGGUUAAAGAAUUUUGGGCUACUACGGAUCCUCUCUUUAACUCUACUUCUGCUUUGCACCGCCUGUCAAAGAAGCUGAAGCUGAUGAAACCUCUUCUGCGGCAGCUGAGCAAAGAUCAUAUUGGGGAAAUAGAAAAGAAAACAAAGGUGGCUUGGGGUAUCCUAUGUGAUCGCCAAAAUACUACUAUGCUCAACCCAACACAAGAGAAUAUGAAAGAGGAGUCACUAGCCUACGAUCGGUGGAACUUUCUUUCUACUCUUGAAGAGAAAGUUCUUAGUCAAAAGGCAAAAGUUCAUUGGUUGGGCAUUGGAGACGGCAACAAUACGCAAUUUCAUAGAGCAGCCAGGGUUAGAGAGGUUCGUAACGCGAUCAGAGAGAUCCAUAAAGAAGAUGGUACAAUAGCAAAACAUCAAGAAGAAAUUAAGGUGGAGGCAGUGAGGCAUUUUUCUCUGUUCCUAUCGCACAAGCCGGAGGAUUUCAUAGGCAUACCAGAAGCAGAACUUAAACAACUUUUGGGGUUUGAAUGUGAAGAAACAGAUAUGCGGUUUUUAGACAGGGAAGUAUCAGAGGAGGAGAUUACAAAAGUUUUAUUUGCAAUGGCAGCCAACAAGUCCCCAGGACCUGAUGGGUUUACUUGCGAAUUCUAUAAAUCAGCCUGGCCGGUUAUUGGAAAAGACUUCGUUGUAGCAGUUCAGUCUUUCUUCACAAGAGGCUUUCUACCCAAAGGAAUAAACUCAACUAUCUUAGCCCUUGUACCAAAGAAAGAUGAAGCAACAAAAAUGGGAGAUUACAGACCCAUCUCAUGUUGUAACGUCUUAUACAAGGUACUUUCAAAGAUUUUGGCGAACAGGUUGAAAAAGAUACUCCCCAAGUUCAUCUCAACGAAUCAGUCAGCGUUUGUCAAAGACCGUUUGAUCAUGGAGAAUGUUUUGCUAGCUUCUGAGCUUGUCAAGAGCUACCACAAGCCAACAAUAUCAUCUAGAUGUGCGGUAAAGAUCGAUAUCUCAAAGGCUUUCGAUUCAGUUCAGUGGCCUUUUCUGCUGUCUAUACUCUCUGCAAUAAAUCUCCCGGAAAAAUUUGUUCUUUGGGUGAAGAAGUGCAUUGAAUUGGCCUCCUUUUCAGUCCAGAUCAAUGGAGAACUGGCCGGUUACUUUAAUAGUUCCAGAGGGCUUCGUCAAGGAUGUUCUCUCUCCCCAUAUCUGUUUGUUAUCUGUAUGGAGGUGCUGUCUAAGUUGCUAAAUAAAGCAGCUUUGGAGAAGAAAAUAGGAUAUCACCCUUACUGUCAAGAGGUUCAGUUGACUCAUCUUUGUUUCGCUGAUGAUUUAUUGGUAUUCUCAGAUGGCAAGAAGAGUUCGGUGGAAGGUAUUCUCCAAGUAUUUAAGGAUUUCGCUGGUAUGUCAGGCUUACAUAUAAGUCUGGAAAAGUCUACUUUGUUCUUGGCUGGAGUAUGUGAGGACAGAGAGGCCAUAUUGGAGCAGUUUCCUUUUGAGAUUGGGACCCUUCCGGUUCGUUAUCUUGGGGUUCCUCUCUUAACAAAGCGUAUGACAUCGAGUGACUAUUCCCCUCUGGUAAAUAGAGUCAAGAAACGUAUAACAACUUGGACGGCACGUCAGCUCUCCUUUGCAGGCCGCCUGCAACUUAUAGGCUCUGUGAUCCACAGUAUAACAAACUUCUGGAUGUCGGUUUAUAGGCUCCCGAAACAGUGCAUUAAAGAGAUUGAUCAGCUUUGUUCAUCGUUCUUAUGGUCUGGUCCGACAAUGAGUACCACAAAGGCCAAGAUAUCUUGGGACAAUGUGUGCAGACCAAAAUAGGAGGGAGGAUUAGGGUUACGGUCAUUGUCUGAAACAAACAAGGUAUGUAGUCUCAAGCUCAUCUGGCGUAUCUUAUCGCAGUCUACUCUGUGGGUUAAAUGGAUUAAACGGUAUCUGAUAAGAAAGGGCUCCUUCUGGAGCAUCAGCGACACAAGCUCUCUUGGUUCUUGGAUUUGGAAGAAGCUACUGAAGUAUAGAGCUCUGGCCAGAUCUUUUGUACAAGUAGAAAUAAGAAGUGGAACUACUACUUCUUUCUGGUUUGAUGAGUGGUCCCCCUUGGGGAGGAUAAUAGACCUCACAGAUAUGCAAGGUUGCAUCGCGC